UAUGGAAAUUUCCUAAUUGAAAAAGAAUUACAUGCUAAAGGAAAAGAGAAAGAAAGAAUCAAGUAGAUGUUGGAGAAAUUAAAAGAGGGAUGUGUCCUCUUCUUCGUUAUCGACAGUGGUGCCUUGUAAAUUCAGCUGCAAAUUGUAAAACUUAGGCCAAAAUUUUCCUUCAAACACAAUAGCGUUUCUGUCCAACCACAGUCCCCAAAGUAGAUAGUUUACCCGAGCAAGGUUAUCUUUAAACUCGGAUUUCUUCAUCAGUGUCUCCACAAGCUCAAUCCACCAUUACUAAGGUUUGAGUUGAGUGUUUCUGGGGAGUGAGCUUGCAAUGGGGAAGAGUUUUACAUGCCUUACAUUUCUGGACAGUACACUAGCACAUGAAGUAUCGUCUCUGUGUCCGAGGAACAACGGGAGCACACUUCAUCUAGGGAAGUACUCUAUUGAUGGGUGAAAGAAGUGACAGGCUAUAGAGUAGCUUGAAUUUACUGUGAAAUGGCUAGAGUUAUGGUGAAUCCAGGCUCAUCCAGUAGUUGUCUCACGCAGAGAAGAUUCUGAGCUCAGUCAUCAGUUCGGGGCAGUCGAAAUGGAGCAACAAUGCCAAACCAGAGAUCAUCCCAAAGCUUCACCAAUCCUCUUUUUUUCACUAUCUAUCUCACUCCUUUCUCCAAGACCUUCUUCCCUUCUAGAAGACUUCACUACGCUCAUGAAGGGCAAACUCCAGUUUUAGCAUCCAGGAAUAAGAUUUGGCAAGAAAGAUCAUCCUAAAAUUCCAUCAAUGCUUCAAAGGAAUGCAUACGUCAAAUGGUGGUCCUAAUUUGAUUCAACCAUGGCUCAUCCUGACGAAGUAAGGAAAUGGUUCAAAGAACAUCAUCAAUUUGUCAAGGUAAUGGAUCAUGAAACAUCUAUUUUUUUCAGUCAAAAGGCCCAGAUUACAGCAGGUCUUGCAGGGUCUCAAUCCAAAGAAUCAUUUAUGAAAAAUUUACAGCAAAUAUUACAGCUACUUCAAGCUGAAGAAGACCAAGAAAGGAAACAAGAUCAAAACUCCUCAACAGCCUCUUCCAGUGAUUAUAUUCAAAAUGAAGAUGACUUUUCUGGAAUUAAUUUAGAAGAAGAUUAAAGUUAUUCAUAAAAUUUUGUAUUUUAAUUUGUAAAAUUAUUAACUGGUACUGUAGCUAUAGUGUAGGUCAACAUUACCUGAACUAUAAGAAUAGAAUCUUUAGGUCUAUAAAAGCAUGCUUCCGCAACAUUUUGAGGCAGAGUUUUUAGAAACAUAAGAUUAGAGAGA